rnacentral:rRNA from 1 species
AACGAACGCUGGCGGCAGGCCUAACACAUGCAAGUCGAACGCCCUAGCAAUAGGGAGUGGCAGACGGGUGAGUAACACGUGGGAACCUUCCCUAUAGUAUGGAAUAGCCCAGGGAAACUUGGAGUAAUACCGUAUACGCCCGAGAGGGGAAAGAUUUAUCGCUAUAGGAUGGGCCCGCGUAGGAUUAGCUAGUUGGUGAGGUAAUGGCUCACCAAGGCGACGAUCCUUAGCUGGUCUGAGAGGACGACCAGCCACACUGGGACUGAGACACGGCCCAGACUCCUACGGGAGGCAGCAGUGGGGAAUAUUGGACAAUGGGCGCAAGCCUGAUCCAGCCAUGCCGCGUGAGUGAUGAAGGCCUUAGGGUUGUAAAGCUCUUUUGCCGGGGACGGAUAAUGACGGUACCCGGAGAAUAAAGUCCCGGCUAACUUCGUG